CAACCCCUGUGACAUACCUUAAUGUUGCCUCGGCGGAUCAGCCCGCGCCCCGUAAAACGGGACGGCCCGCCAGAGGACCCAAACUCUAAUGUUUCUUAUUGUAACUUCUGAGUAAAACAAACAAAUAAAUCAAAACUUUCAACAACGGAUCUCUUGGUUCUGGCAUCGAUGAAGAACGCAGCAAAAUGCGAUAAGUAAUGUGAAUUGCAGAAUUCAGUGAAUCAUCGAAUCUUUGAACGCACAUUGCGCCCGCUGGUAUUCCGGCGGGCAUGCCUGUUCGAGCGUCAUUUCAACCCUCAAGCCCCCGGGUUUGGUGUUGGGGAUCGGCUCUGCCUUCUGGCGGUGCCGCCCCCGAAAUACAUUGGCGGUCUCGCUGCAGCCUCCAUUGCGUAGUAGCUAACACCUCGCAACUGGAACGCGGCGCGGCCAUGCCGUAAAACCCCAACUUCUGAAUGUUGACCUCGGAUCAGGUAGGAAUACCCGCUGAACUUAAGCAUAUCAAAA
rnacentral:rRNA from 1 species